rnacentral:misc_RNA from 1 species
GGCAAGAAGCUCGUCUCUGCCACCAAGGAAGGUCUGAAGCUUGAUGAGAGUGAGGACGAGAAGAAGCGGCAGGAGGAACUCAAGGAGAAGUUCGAGGGUCUGUGCAAGGUGAUCAAGGAGGUGCUCGGUGACAAGGUGGAGAAGGUUGUUGUCUCUGACCGUGUGGUGGACUCUCCCUGCUGUCUAGUCACUGGGGAGUAUGGC